CCACUACUAACGAGUCCUAAACAGGACGAAACAGCUGUCCCGUGU
rnacentral:hammerhead_ribozyme from 1 species